rnacentral:rRNA from 1 species
UACGUAGGGCGCAAGCGUUGUCCGGAAUUAUUGGGCGUAAAGAGCUCGUAGGCGGCUUGUCACGUCGGGUGUGAAAGCCCGGGGCUUAACCCCGGGUCUGCAUUCGAUACGGGGCUAGCUAGAGUGUGGUAGGGGAGAUCGGAAUUCCUGGUGUAGCGGUGAAAUGCGUAGAGAUCGUAAGGAAGGCCAGUGGCGAAGGCGAGUUCCUGGACAGUUACUGACGCUGAGGCAACGAAGGCCGGGGAGCAAACGGG